UACGAAGGGGGCUAGCGUUGUUCGGAAUCACUGGGCGUAAAGGGUGCGUAGGCGGGUCUUUAAGUCAGGGGUGAAAUCCUGGAGCUCAACUCCAGAACUGCCUUUGAUACUGAGGAUCUUGAGUUCGGGAGAGGUGAGUGGAACUGCGAGUGUAGAGGUGAAAUUCGUAGAUAUUCGCAAGAACACCAGUGGCGAAGGCGGCUCACUGGCCCGAUACUGACGCUGAGGCACGAAAGCGUGGGGAGCAAACAGGGAUUAAGAAACCCGGAG
rnacentral:rRNA from 1 species